rnacentral:tRNA from 1 species
GCCUGUGUGGCUUAGUCGGUUAAGCUUCUGACUUCAGCUCAGAUCAUGAUCUCACAGUUCAUGAGUUCGUGCCCCAUAUUGGGCU